rnacentral:rRNA from 1 species
UACGGGAGGCAGCAGUGGGGAAUAUUGCACAAUGGGCGCAAGCCUGAUGCAGCCAUGCCGCGUGUAUGAAGAAGGCCUUCGGGUUGUAAAGUACUUUCAGCAGUGAGGAAGUGGAUAUGUUAAUAGCAUAUUCAUUUGACGUUAGCUGCAGAAGAAGCACCGGCUAACUCCGUGCCAGCAGCCGCGGUAAUACGGAGGGUGCGAGCGUUAAUCGGAAUUACUGGGCGUAAAGCGCAUGCAGGUGGUUUGUUAAGUCAGAUGUGAAAGCCCGGGGCUCAACCUCGGAAUUGCAUUUGAAACUGGCAAACUAGAGUACUGUAGAGGGGGUAGAAUUUCAGGUGUAGCGGUGAAAUGCGUAGAGAUCUGAAGGAAUACCGGUGGCGAAGGCGGCCCCCUGGACAGAUACUGACACUCAGAUGCGAAAGCGUGGGGAGCAAACAGGAUUAGAUACCCUGGUAG